AGAUCAACCUGAUGAUGAUGAUGAUGAUCUGGAUUCCCAACCCAUAUCAGUUGCUGAGCCUGGUGAUGAGGAGGCUGAUGAGGCUGUUCAGUUACAGGUCUGUCUGCAGGGAGGACUUUCCCAGCUCCUGACCUGGAUGCUGCAUGCAAGGCCAGCUCCCACUGCAGGGAUUCAGCCGGCACCACAACUCAUGCUCAGAAUAUCUGGGAAAGCAUGAGAAGAAUUUUCAGCCCGGGAACACAUGGUUUGAUUAAGCUAAUG